UACAGAGGGGGCAAGCGUUGUUCGGAAUUACUGGGCGUAAAGGGCGCGUAGGCGGCCUGUUAAGUCGAACGUGAAAUCCCCGGGCUCAACCCGGGAACUGCGUCCGAAACUGGCAGGCUUGAAUCCGGGAGAGGGAUGUGGAAUUCCAGGUGUAGCGGUGAAGUGCGUAGAUAUCUGGAGGAACAUCGGUGGCGAAGGCGACAUCCUGGACCGGUAUUGACGCUGAGGCGCGAAAGCCAGGGGAGCAAACGGG
rnacentral:rRNA from 1 species